rnacentral:misc_RNA from 1 species
GUUUUGGUCUGCUUCUACUGGAGGAGCUCAACGCCCACGCAUACACCCACUCAACACAGAAGUGGCCCUACCCUGCGCGCACACGUCCCGUAGACUCACAGAAAGAAAGAGGCGGUGGUGGCGAGGAGCGGUGACGCACCGCAUUUUCAUCCUCGCGCGUGCUUUUGUGUGCUGUUGCUUGUAAAGCGAAACACAGGCACAUGCACACACACACGCACACACACACACACACACACACACACACACACACAGAGGGGGAGAUAUGCAAACUGCACACGCACACACCAUGACGGCACAAAUGAAGGUAUUGAAGCCGAAGACCGUCUUCGACAACCGCCCUGAUGAGGCUCGCAAGCCCAUCAAGCUCAUCUUGCUCGGCGAUAGCGCGGUGGGCAAGUCAAAGCUGGUAGAGCGCUUCCUGAUGCAGCGGUACAUCCCAGUGCAGAUGUCCACCUACGCCCUCACCCUGUACCGCUACGACUUCGUGACAGAAGACGGCGAGGAGGUCGACGUGGACAUUUGGGACACCGCCGGGCAGGAGCGCUUUGCCACGGUUCACCCGAGCUACUAUCACGACGCACACGCGUGUAUCCUCGUGUUUGACAGCACACGCAAGGCGACCUACAAAAACUUAGAAAAGUGGCUCUCCGAGAUGCGCGUCUACCGGGAGCACAUUCCGUGCCUUGUAGCGUGCAACAAGAUCGACACCGAUCCGUCUGUUACAACGAAGAGUUUUGCUUUUGCGGAGAAACACAACUUUCCGCUGUACUACGUCUCCGCUGCUGACGGCUCCAACGUGGUGCAGCUCUUCGAAAGCGCCAUUUCCACGGCGGCCGCGUACAAGAAGAAUCCCGCAAAGGACGACUUCAUGACGCAGGUGAUCGGCAUUCUGAAGGAGGACAAGACAGCCGCGGGUGCCUCCGCAGUGUCAUCGUAGAGCGCGAAAACAGAAGAGCAGGAGCACUGGAAGCGUUCUUUUUCACAGUGUUUCUUUUUUGGUGCGCUGACACAGACAAGCCACAGCUCUCUGCGGUAUGCUCUAUGAGGUACUUGUUCGGGGCGCACAUCCAUCGCCGUGCCUGAUGUACCUCAGCCUCCGUGCGGACAUGAACAUUGCCUACCAAAUAGUGCUCUUCGUUUGCGCGGCCGACGAUUGUGACGGUGCAGGCGGCUGUUAUAUGUGUGUGUGUGAAUUACACGGCAAUGGCGUCUUCGAAGUGCGACUGCGGCUCGUAAGCGUCUGCUACAUGAACGCACGGGGAUCCUCUACCCUUAGGCGGUUCGUGCCUUGUAUGAUAGGGGGUUCACGUUGCAGUAGGUGGACUCCCCUCUCCUAGUUCACAGAAUACGUUGCAGAUCAUCCCGUCUCUACGGUUCUGUGGAUGCUCGUCUCCGGGAUUCUGUGCUAUUCACAUCAUCAUUAUUCAAGUUUCCCUUGUCUUGAUGUUGUCUUACUUAUGGAGGCGACAAGGGAACGCUGAAAUUUCUUGUGUGAAUAACGCUUAUACAUAUAUAUAUGUUUGCUUGGCGAGGCGAAGCAGCUGCGUCCGAUGCUGUGCAAUCUCCCCAGUUGGACUGCGAGCCGUUUUCCUGCCUCUUGCCAUCUCUCUCUCUCUCUGAUGCGGCUGAUGGACUAUAUAUAUGGGCUGAUUUCUUCGCGUCUUUCGGCCGCAGUGUUCUUCCCUUUAGAAGUUGUUGUAGUGCGCAUGCUUGUUUAUGUAAAUGCGUAUGAGAUGUGGUGAUCUAGACUGCUGUUACAUCCCUUGUUGCGAUCAGUGUAUGCUAGAUGUGCUGAGCCGAGCCUACAUUUUUUUUCCGUUUGUUUGUUUGUGUGCCUCUGGGCUUUUUCAUGUACUGUUUUCUUUUUCUUUUGGUGUUCCUGUCUGCGGAGCGCCCUGUGACUCCUCCUCUGACUUGUGUGCUUCUCCCAUCGAUGCCGGCAUAGGGGCUCCGCUUAAAGACAGACACCCAUGUACGGAACACGAGGCCCAUGUUCGCGCCCAAUGGGUACAGGGUGGCCGAAAAGGCCAAUUACGGCUUGUUAUUAUUAUUAUUUAAAUUGGGCAAAUACUGCGCACUGAAGGCCUUCAACGGAUGAGGGCAUUGUAAGAAGGAUGAGGAAGAUUGUGGCCGGUUGGUUGGUGGGUCGGUGCGGGGACACCCGAGUGGGCAUUGCACCCCUCGAGCCUCCGUUUCCAUCCCUCUUUCUACCGCCCUCUCUCUCUCUCGCAGUCUCUCGACUUGUGUGUGAUGCCCUUGCUUUCGAGCUUCUUGGUUCGCUACGAAGUACGGACUUCUGUGGCCUGUUCGCUUCCUCUCUUCUCCCCAGCUGCCUAUCCGUUUUCAGGGCUUUUCUGUUUUGUUCUCGUUGUUCCUCCUUGUCUUGUCGAUUUCCUUCGGUGCGCUUUUUUUUUUCGGUGCUUUGCCUUUUUUUUUUCGUGCUCGUUUCGCCCUCCCUUCCCUCCCUCCGUGCGCGUGUGUGGAAAGUCGCCGUGCGCAGGGCGGUCUUUCUCUGCUGCAGUCGUCUGGAGUCCGUGCACGGACACGGUGCAGCUACACGGACGCAAAAGAAGGGCACACGCACGCAUGUCAGGAGCCCGCCGCCCUCCCCCUCUCCUCUCCUCCCUAACGAAAAAAAAAGGAAAAGGAAAGAGGGAGGGGGUGGGGAAAGUGCUGAGUGAAACGCCGAGGGACCUCAGCAAAAUGCCUGAGCGUGGUGCGAUGUCCAACAAACGACCUCUUUCUACUGAUACUCGUGAGCCAGCCGCAGGCCCCUCUGUGCACGCCAUCAGCGCCACGAAAUG